CCUACGGGGGGCUGCAGUGGGGAAUAUUGGACAAUGGGGGGAACCCUGAUCCAGCCAUGCCGCGUGUGUGAAGAAGGCCCUCGGGUUGUAAAGCACUUUCAGUGAGGAAGAACGCCUGGUGGUUAAUACCCAUCAGGAAAGACAUCACUCACAGAAGAAGCACCGGCUAACUCCGUGCCAGCAGCCGCGGUAAUACGGAGGGUGCGAGCGUUAAUCGGAAUUACUGGGCGUAAAGCGCGCGUAGGUGGCUUGAUAAGCCGGUUGUGAAAGCCCCGGGCUCAACCUGGGAACGGCAUCCGGAACUGUCAAGCUAGAGUGCAUGAGAGGAAGGUAGAAUUCCCGGUGUAGCGGUGAAAUGCGUAGAGAUCGGGAGGAAUACCAGUGGCGAAGGCGGCCUUCUGGACUGACACUGACACUGAGGUGCGAAAGCGUGGGUAGCAAACAGGAUUAGAUACCCCAGUAGUC
rnacentral:rRNA from 1 species